AGAGUUUGAUUCUGGCUCAGGAUGAACGCUAGCUAUAGGCUUAACACAUGCAAGUCGUGGGGCAGCAUGGUCCUAGCUUGCUAAGACUGAUGGCGACCGGCGCACGGGUGAGUAACGCGUAUCCAACCUGGCCCACAGUAGGGGAUAGCCCGGCGAAAGUCGGAUUAAUACCCUAUGUUUUCCUUUGAGAGCAUUUGACGAGGAACAAAGAUUCAUCGCUAUGGGAUGGGGAUGCGUCCGAUUAGCUUGACGGCGGGGUAACGGCCCACCGUGGCUUCGAUCGGUAGGGGUUCUGAGAGGAAGGUCCCCCACAUUGGAACUGAGACACGGUCCAAACUCCUACGGGAGGCAGCAGUGAGGAAUAUUGGUCAAUGGGCGAAGGCCUGAACCAGCCAAGUAAGCGUGAGGGAUGACUGCCCUACGGGUUGUAAACCUCUUUUGCGGGGGGAUAAAGUGCGGGACGCGUCCCGUUUUGUAUGUACCCUGAGAAUAAGGACCGGCUAAUUCCGUGCCAGCAGCAGC
rnacentral:rRNA from 1 species